rnacentral:misc_RNA from 1 species
UUUCCGUAGGUGAACCUGCGGAAGGAUCAUUCAUAAUAAAGUGUUUUAUGGCACUUUUUAAAAAUCCAUAUCCACCUUGUGUGCAAUGUUAGAUCUCGUCAAUCUUGGCGAGAUUUUUAUACAUCAACUCAUUCUUUAACUAAUUUGUCUGAAAAAUAUUAUGAACACUUAAUUCAAAAUACAACUUUCAACAACGGAUCUCUUGGCUCUC